rnacentral:rRNA from 1 species
AGUGAACGCUGGCGGUAGGCCUAACACAUGCAAGUCGAACGGCAGCACAGUAAGAGCUUGCUCUUACGGGUGGCGAGUGGCGGACGGGUGAGGAAUACAUCGGAAUCUACUUUUUCGUGGGGGACAACGGAGGGAAACUUACGCUAAUACCGCAUACGACCUACGGGUGAAAGCAGGGGAUCUUCGGACCUUGCGCGAUUGAAUGAGCCGAUGUCGGAUUAGCUAGUUGGCGGGGUAAAGGCCCACCAUGGCGACGAUCCGUAGCUGGUCUGAGAGGAUGGUCAGCCACUCUGGAAUUGAGCUACGGUCGCAGGGCAUAGAGGAGGAAGAAGACGGCAAUAAUGGCCGCAGGGCGAAAGGCUGAUGGAGCAAAGCCGCGUAGGUGACAAAGGUCUUCGCAGCGUAAAGCUCGUUUGUUGGGAAAGAACAGACGGCCGCCUAAAGUGGGUCGUUGUGACGGUACCCCAGAACAGAGCAACGGCUAACUACGUG